AACAGGAAGAAGCUUGCUUCUUUGCUGACUUGUGCUGGACGGGUGAGAUAAUGUCUGGGAAACUGCCUGAUGGAGGGGGAUAACUACUGGAAACGGUAGCUAAUACCGCAUAACGUCGCAAGACCAAAAAGGGGGACCUUCGGGCCUCUUGCCAUCGGAUGUGCCCAGAUGGGAUUAGCUAGUAGGUGGGGUAACGGCUCACCUAGGCGACGAUCCCUAGCUGGUCUGAGAGGAUGACCAGCCACACUGGAACUGAGACACGGCCCAGACUCCUACGGGAGGCAGCAGUGGG
rnacentral:misc_RNA from 1 species